AUUAAUUUUUAAAUUUUUAUUAAAACUAAAAUGGUUAUACUUUAUCAUCACUUUUUUUCUUUUCUAUAUUUACAUACACCAUGUUAAAAAAUAAUAUAAAAUUUGAACAAAUAAUAAAAUAUUUUCUUAUUUCACAAUUUAAAAAUUAAACUCAACAUAUUACUUAACUAAUGAAAAAUAUUUUGUGUUGGCAUUUAUUUCUAAUAUUACAAAAAUAAAUUGUAAUUGUUUAAUCACACAUUCCUGAAUUUUAAAAUAUAACAUAACUUACCCAGUAUAACAUAACAGAUGAACAUUAGUUUUAUAAAGUAUUUAUUUAUAAGAUUCAUUGUAAAUAGAUUUAUUGAUUUAGUAGAUCUCAAUGCUUCUUUUACAAAAAAUAUAAUUAUAAUUCUUAUUAAACAAUUUGCACUGAACUUGAGUGUAAUUUAAAAAAUAUUUAACAUUAAAUGCUAAUUGACAACACCUAUAGUUCACAUAAUUAUUAUACAUCUAUAAACUAAACAUUUAUAAACCUGGUAGAAAUAUAAAAUUACCUCUAUAAAAAUAUAAAUUUAUAUAUACAUAUAUUUUUAUUGGAAUAAUAAUAGUUAAUCUUUAAAAGUAAUAUAAAACAAUUUAAUUAAUCCCUGCCAUCUGAUAGGUUCUUACUAUUCCUAGUAUAACAAACAUUGAAUAUUCUGUUGAAUAUUUCAUAAUUGAAACUUACCUAAUAUGUAGGUUGUAUACUUAUAAUCAUAUUUUAAGAAUCAAU